ACAGAAGCUAACAACUCAUCAUUAGACGAAGUCAAAGAUGAAUAAUAUUCUAACUUUGAAUACUUGUCUCUCAAGUUACAUGCACCUACCAUGCCAUUUUAUUUGUCUCAAAUUCAUAAUUCAAUAACGCUCGAGUCUAAUUAAUAAAUAGAAACAAAUAUAGUUAAUACAGUCAGUCCACAUGCACAUUUCACCUUUUGAUCAUAGAUUCAUAGUGAUGGAACGAGCACAAGAAACAACGAAUAGGACCAUCUUGGCCAAUAAUUGUAGUGCGACACAGGGCACAUAAAUAAUUGUAUGACUAUGAACCAUUGGCAUAAUUCCCAUGAGAGAGGGUGGGUCAUGGUAUUUUCUCAUAGCACACAGGGUUCAAACAAAUCUUGUCAUACAGGACACAGCUUACGGGGUGCGCAUAUCAGGCUUGAAAAGCAGAUCAAACAUGGAAAAGCAGGACCACUGCCAUAUCAAUGUCUACUACCUAUGCACAGAACAAGCCAAAGGUAGGCAACCGAGUUUAUCCCUUACUGUCCUGUUUAUGCCUCCAAGUGACAGGACUAUGUUCAAUACAAUAAUUUUAUGACAUCGAUGAAUCACAUGAUAAAACAAAUGAAUAGUUGUUCAAGAACAUGCACGGCAGUGUCCAGAAACCAUGUCGGGCAAAUUGGCAAGCAAUCAAAACUGAGAGAAACUAGAUCCCGGUCUAUCUGGUUCAAACACAACGCUUUUUCACAAAAAAUUGUAGCAUAUAAGAAUGUUAAGAUUAAACAUCCACCUAAAUAAGUAA